rnacentral:tRNA from 1 species
AAGGGAGACCUAAUUCCGGUAGGAGACGAAAAAAAAGUAGUCCCAACCAAGAAUCAAUCCCAAAAGGUCGGAACGAGGUAUGAGGCUUUCAAACUAGGUUCUGGGUUCAUAAAAGACCUGAAUCAGGAACAAGGGCUAUUAGCUCAGGUGGUUAGAGUGCACCCCUGAUAAGGGUGAGGUCCCUGGUUCGAGUCCAGGAUGGCCCACCUGCACAGGUGGCAAAAACAAGAGAAGCUCCGAAUCAGCACCUUAUCUUAUAUACAUAUAUAAGAGAGAAUGCUGGCUCUGAGUACAGAGUCCAGAGGAACCUUGAAAACUGCAUAGAGCUAGGUGAAAAAGCCAAAAAAGAAGACCGCAA